rnacentral:rRNA from 1 species
CGAGCCCGGAGAUAGCUGGUUCUCCCCGAAAUAGCUUUAGGGCUAGCCUCAAGGUGAGAGAUACGGAGGUAGAGCACUGAAUGUCCUAGGGGGUAUUGCACCUACCGAAGACUAUCAAACUCCGAAUGCCGUCAUCUUAUACUUGGGAGUCAGACUGUGGGUGAUAAGAUUCAUAGUCGAAAGGGCAACAGCCCAGAUCGUCAGCUAAGGUCCCUAAAUGUAAGUUAAGUGGUAAAGGAUGUGGGAUUGCACAGACAACCAGGAUGUUGGCUUAGAAGCAGCCACUCAUUCAAAGAGUGCGUAAUAGCUCACUGGUCGAGUGAUCCUGCGCCGAAGAUUUCCGGGGCUAAAACUUACUACCGAAGCUACGGCAUCAGUAAUGAUGGGUAGGGGAGCUUCCCAUACGGGUUGAAGCAUGACCGUAAGGACAUGUGGACAGUAUGGGAGUGAGAAUGUUGGCAUGAGUAGCGAGAUGUGGGUGGGAAUCCCACAGGCCGUAAACCCAAGGUUUCCAGGGGAAGGUUCGUCCACCCUGGGUUAGUCGGGACCUAAGCUGAGGCCGAAAGGCGUAGGUGAUGGACAACAGGUUGAUAUUCCUGUACUACCGAUAACCGUUUGAGAGAAGGGAUGACACAGUAGGAUAAGCUAAGCACACUGUUGGUUAUGUGUGCCCAAGCAUUGAGGCAGUCAAAGUAGGCAAAUCCGCUUUGAUAAUGCUGGGAUGUGAUGGGGAGCGAAAUUUAGUAGCGAAGUAGCUGAUUUCACACUGUCAAGAAAAGUCUCUAUCGAGGUUAAAGGUACCCGUACCGCAAACCGACACAGGUG